rnacentral:rRNA from 1 species
UCAGGAUGAACGCUGGCGGCGUGCUUAACACAUGCAAGUCGAACGAAGCUCCGGAAGCAGCGAUUUCGGUCGAAAGUGGAAGGAAGACUUAGUGGCGGACGGGUGAGUAACGCGUGGGUAACCUGCCAUAUACAGGGGGAUAACAGUUAGAAAUGACUGCUAAUACCGCAUAAGCGCACGGAGGGGCAUCCCUCAGUGUGAAAAGCCGAGACGGUAUAUGAUGGACCCGCGUCUGAUUAGCUAGUUGGGAGGGUAACGGGCCUACCCAAGGCGACGAUCAGUAGCCGGCCUGAGAGGGUGAACGGCCACAUUGGGACUGAGACACGGCCCAAACUCCUACGGGAGGCAGCAGUGGGGAAUAUUGCACAAUGGGGAAACCCUGAUGCAGCGACGCCGCGUGAGUGAAGAAGUACCUCGGUACGUAAAGCUCUAUCAGCAGGGAAGAAAUGACGGUACCUGACUAAGAAGCCCGGCUAACUACGUGCC